UACAAGUGAAAACACGUGCAAACGCAGCCAAGUCAGGAACUGGAAAAGCUUGCUCGCCCAAUGCAUUCGUGGAAGCUAAUAGGUAGCGCACAUCCUGGCAGCUCUGCUUACAUCCAAUUCAGGCUUACUAAAGUACCAUUUUUUCAACAAGCGGUCCACUUGCUCUUGCUUUCUUAUUCCAUGAAGUCUCUUCUCCUCUUCCUCUUCCCAGUCCUCUGUGAAGUCUUUGAGCAAUUUAUGAUGCGAGGGGCCCAAUUGGACGUCCUCCCUCAUGUUUUCAAAGAAGUGCGCGAUACAUGUCCGAGCAAAGUCUCGAGCGUGGUGGACACAGGUCUCAUCAAAGAGCUUCUGCUCCACAUCAAGGUAGUUGCUCCAGUAGCGUGUUUGCAGGAAGGCAGCAUGGUCUUCGAAACAAGGCUUGAGGACUCGUCCCAGCGCUCCCAGUAGCAUCAGGAAAAGGAGCAUGGACCAGCCGACUGCCUGGACACAAAUUAGUCAUCAGUAGUAAUAAUGGUGGCAAUAAAUGCUUUUGAAAUCAAUGUUCUGUUUGUGGGCAGGCGAUUCCACGUGAGCCAGGCAGCCAGGCAGCCAGCCAGGCAGCAAGCCAGCCAGCCAUAAAAAAAAAGAAACUGAAAAAAAACCCUUAACCAAAAUAAAUGCAAGAGAAGAACAUGCCAAAGGUCUGAGUCGAAAUGCCAACCUAGAAGCUUCUUGCUAAAAGGUCUACGCAGUAAUCAGCGUGCCCACAAUUGAUUCACGGCUGGCCCCUUACUUGCGAAUAGCAGCGAACAUAACGAGACACUGCUUUGUGGAAAGAGCUAUUCCUGAAGAGGACGUCCUCCUUGCAGGGGACUUUGGCCAUUAUUUGGAUCACAUCCAGUCCAGGGCUGUUGGGCAUACCUGAAAACAUGGCGUACGGCAUCCAUCAGAAAGCAAGAUCAAUUUACUGCUUGGGUCCAGAGCAUUACCUGAGAAGAUGUCAGGAUCGACACUCGCGCUGAAGGCGCAAAUGAAGAUUUUCCCAUCCAGGAGGGUGACGAGGAUCCACACCAUUGGCGCAAGGAGGGCCCGCUGGACCAUGGCUGAGAAUAAAUAUCUGCACAAAGAGAUGAAUCACUUUGUUCACCUUUUCCUCACGUUCUGUCAUUUGUGUCAAUCGUGAAAUGUGGAGGACCGACUACCUGAGAGCGAGAGAGCGAGAGAGAGAACACACGAGGACAAAUUGCGCACUUUCAGGGAGUUAACUUCAAGUUGUUCACUAUAUUUCAUGUUGCUGGACUUACUUGACCACAGCCAGGUUUUUGGAGCGUUUUCCAGGAGGCCUCAUCCAUUCAUCCAUCAUGACACCCGUGUGGCGAUUGACCAGUAGCCCGAGGAAGAAGAGGAUAAUCGGCGGAAAGACCAUCACUCCCAAAGAGUAGAGUUUGUUGUAUUGCGGAAGGCACGGACAGUUGAAGUCGAAGCUGGUGUAAAGCUUGACGCUGACCAAAGCCAGCACCAUACAAAUCCCGUUGGAGAUUGAUUCAGAGUUGGAUUGGAAAUAGUGCAAAACGAACUUCAGACGCUCCAUCGUUCCAAGGCUCGUUCAGACAACAAACGGCUGCCGCCCGCCACUGCGUACUUGGGGUACAAGUGCGCCGGACGAGUUCAAUUAAUCCACAACGUGUGCUCAUUUCCUCGACCGAAAGGCAAAUCAGAAGGUUCCAUUCAGUGUGCAGGGAGGGACAGCGGCUUGCUGGCUGGCUGGCGUGCCAUCUGAACACACCCACCCAGCUGAGCUGAGCUGAGCUGAGCCUUUUGCAUUCAUAGCAAGGACGAAAGAUGCAACUAAAGUAGCCUCCUCUUACCUGCCUGCCUGCCAGUAGACAUGAUGUACUGUGAAUACAAAUAAAGGCAUUGAAGCCUGUCUGUCUGUCUGUCUGUCUGUCCGUCUCUGCCUGCCCGACAAAAGUAAACAUCAAUCGAGUGGAUGGGGAGGGAAUAAAUGCAACUUUAUUGGGAGGAUCGAGGGGAACAAUGCCUACAGUGUUUAGAACCUUAAAACAAAUGCAUUACAGAACUAUAGGAGAGUACUUUCAUGGAGUUGUUUCAACUGGUCACUGGUCAAUUACUAGUCACACUGCAGCAUCCAAAUGAAAACAGGAAUACACAACCAAGAAAUGUCAAUGACUCAUCCCAUCACACACACAAAUACAAACGCGACUGUUGUGGUCUGUAGAGGUGAUCAGUGUCAAUGCUACUACAGAGCAUGAAUGAAUAUUCCUUGCUUUCAGAGCAUCAGGAGUUAAAGUGAGGCAAGUACAAUGAAAACACUCAACAUGAACCAAAAGAGCCUACAAAUACGUAGUACAGCAAAGCAAGCAAAUUGUUGCAGUCACCUAAGCAGAGUUUCAGUUGACUUCGGAGGGAAGGUUUGUUAGCAAAGUCAACUCUUCGGAUCUUUUUAAAUCAGGGCCAUGUCUGAUGAUUGCGUGGCCUCCAUAACUCUGAAGACACCAACCUUCUCCUUCCUCAUUGCCUUUUUGUCUUUAUCUGCAAUUCCACAAAGUAACACACAUUUCAUUCUGGUAUGUGCUGCAGUUGAAAUAGAAGCAAAAGCUCUUGGUCAUAAAGAUUUGGGUUUUUUUUUUUCCCCUUACCAAAAUUCAAUAGAAACUUGACUGACAAAAUCAUUUCUUUUCAAAUAAAUCCUCGAGUACCCACCCAGCAAGUCACUACGGUCCAACAAAGACUCCAGGUCUUUAUCGCUUAUCACCUGCCCGCUCGAUGAUUUCACUUCCCUGGAAAUGGCGAAAAAGACAGCCAAAGUGAAAGUCAGUCGAGAAAAACUCAAGUUCAUGUCGAAGCAUAUUGCCACUUACCUCUCAGUGUUUCUGGCUUGGAGCAGCUCCCUCAGCUCAUCCAGAUCAAUGCAGCUUUUAGUUUGGUUCAACUCUGCCCUGCCACCUUUGAAUUUAUCUGCGUUCAAAAGAGAUAGGGAAAUAAAGAGUCAAGAAAAUAUACAUAGACAUAAUGGGAAAAAAAAAAUAUCGAUACAAUAAUAUCAUAAAAUGUAAUAAAGAAAGAGAGGGGGGGGGGGAAAAAAAAGGAAAUGAAUCAAAUUGUUGUUUUUUUCCCCACCACUGUUUUGACAUUUGUGAUUAAUGUGAGAGGACAUGAUUCUGCAGCUCUUGAAAAGAAACAAAGCGCCACACUAACUGCUACUAACACUACUACAAAUGGACUAACUCUUGUGGAUGACCAUCUGUUCCAGCUUCCUCUUUGCCGAGGCUCUCUCCAGAAUCUUUUGGUCGACGGUGUUAGCUGUGACCAGACGAUAUACCACCACUGGUUUGGUUUGCCCAAUGCGAUGACAGCGGUCCUGAGCCUGGAGGUCUGCCUGGGGGUUCUGAUGAAAUCAAGAUUCUAAAAUGCAUACUGAUGAGCCAGCCAUUUCGUGUGUGUGCGUGUUAGGGAUUAGAUUGUUGUUCACAAUAAAGGCCACUGGCAUCCUCCCAAUGCUUUGAAAA